rnacentral:rRNA from 1 species
GCUUGUCUCAAAGAUUAAGCCAUGCAUGUCUAAGUAUAAAUAGUAUACAGUGAAACUGCGAAUGGCUCAUUAAAACAGUUAUAGUUUAUUUGAUAAUUGAAAAUUACAUGGAUAACCGUGGUAAUUCUAGAGCUAAUACAUGCUAUCAAGCCCGACUUCUUGAAGGGUUGUAUUUAUUAGACUUAAGCCAAUAUUCCUCGUGUCUAUUGUGGUGACUCAUAGUAACUGAUCGGAUCGCACGGGCUUGCCCGCGACAAACCAUUCAAGUUUCUGCCCCAUCAGCUUUCGAUGGUAGUGUAUUGGACUACCAUGGCUUUUACGGGUAACGGAGGAUUAGGGUUCGAUUCCGGAGAGGGAGCCUGAGAAACGGCUACCACAUCUAAGGAAGGCAGCAGG